rnacentral:rRNA from 1 species
CCUACGGGUGGCAGCAGUGAGGAAUAUUGGUCAAUGGACGAGAGUCUGAACCAGCCAAGUAGCGUGAAGGAUGACUGCCCUCUGGGUUGUAAACUUCUUUUAUAAAGGAAUAAAACGAGGCACGUGUGCCUUUUUGCAUGUACUUUAUGAAUAAGGAUCGGCUAACUCCGUGCCAGCAGCCGCGGUAAUACGGAGGAUCCGAGCGUUAUCCGGAUUUAUUGGGUUUAAAGGGAGCGUAGAUGGGUUGUUAAGUCAGUUGUGAAAGUUUGCGGCUCAACCGUAAAAUUGCAAUUGAUACUGGCAGUCGUGAGUACAGUUGAGGUAGGCGGAAUUCGUGGUGUAGCGGUGAAAUGCGUAGAUAUCACGAAGAACCCCGAUUGCGAAGGCAGCUUACUAAACUGUGACUGACAUUGAUGCUCGAAAGUGUGGGUAUCAAACAGGAUUAGAUACCCGUGUAGUC